rnacentral:rRNA from 1 species
GGAAUUUUGGACAAUGGGCGCAAGCCUGAUCCAGCAAUGCCGCGUGAGUGAAGAAGGCCUUCGGGUUGUAAAGCUCUUUUGUCAGGGAAGAAACGGGUUUUUCUAAUACAGAGAUCUAAUGACGGUACCUGAAGAAUAAGCACCGGCUAACUACGUGCCAGCAGCCGCGGUAAUACGUAGGGUGCAAGCGUUAAUCGGAAUUACUGGGCGUAAAGCGUGCGCAGGCGGUUUUGUAAGACUGUCGUGAAAUCCCCGGGCUCAACCUGGGAAUGGCGAUGGUGACUGCAAGGCUAGAGUUUGGCAGAGGGGGGUAGAAUUCCACGUGUAGCAGUGAAAUGCGUAGAUAUGUGGAGGAACACCGAUGGCGAAGGCAGCCCCCUGGGUCAAAACUGACGCUCAUGCACGAAAGCGUGGGGAGCAAACAGGAUUAGAUACCCUGG